AACGAACGCUGGCGGCAGGCUUAACACAUGCAAGUCGAGCGCCCCGCAAGGGGAGUGGCAGACGGGUGAGUAACACGUGGGAACAUGCCCAAAGGUACGGAAUAUCCUCGGGAAACUGGGAGCAAUACCGUAUGUGCCCGAAAGGGGAAAGAUUUAUCGCCUUUGGAUUGGCCCGCGUUGGAUUAGCUAGUUGGUGGGGUAAAAGCCUACCAAGGCGACGAUCCAUAGCUGGUCUGAGAGGACGACCAGCCACACUGGGACUGAGACACGGCCCAGACUCCUACGGGAGGCAGCAGUGGGGAAUCUUGGACAAUGGGCGCAAGCCUGAUCCAGCCAUGCCGCGUGAGUGAUGAAGGCCCUAGGGUUGUAAAACUCUUUCGUGGGGGACGAUAAUGACGGUACCCCAAGAAGAAGCUCCGGCUAACUUCGUGCCAGCAGCCGCGGUAA
rnacentral:rRNA from 1 species